rnacentral:rRNA from 1 species
GGUUGAUCCUGCCAGUAGUCAUAUGCUUGUCUCAAAGAUUAAGCCAUGCAUGUCUAAGUAUAAGCGAAUAUACAGUGAAACUGCGAAUGGCUCAUUAAAUCAGUUAUCGUUUAUUUGAUAGUACCUUGCUAAUUGGCAUACGCCUGGCAAUUCUAGAGCUAAUACAUGCACACAAGCCCAACUCACGGAGGGCUGUAUUUAUUAGAUAAAAAAUCAACAUCCAAGAUGAUUCAUAAUAACUUUUCGAAUCGCAUGGCCCCGCGCCGGCGAUGGUUCAUUCAAAUUUCUGCC